ACUCCUACGGGAGGCAGCAGUGGGGAAUAUUGGACAAUGGGCGCAAGCCUGAUCCAGCCAUGCCGCGUGAGUGAUGAAGGCCCUAGGGUUGUAAAGCUCUUUCAGCGAGGAGGAUAAUGACGUUACUCGCAGAAGAAGCCCCGGCUAACUUCGUGCCAGCAGCCGCGGUAAUACGAAGGGGCUAGCGUUGUUCGGAAUUACUGGGCGUAAAGCGCAUGCAGGCGGCCUGUUAAGUCAGAUGUGAAAGCCCGGGGCUUAACCUCGGAAUUGCAUUUGAAACUGGCAGGCUAGAGUCUUGUAGAGGGGGUAGAAUUUCAGGUGUAGCGGUGAAAUGCGUAGAGAUCUGAAGGAAUACCAGUGGCGAAGGCGGCCCCCUGGACAAAGACUGACGCUCAGAUGCGAAAGCGUGGGGAGCAAACAGGAUUAGAUACCCUGGUAGCGACUG
rnacentral:rRNA from 1 species